CUUGGAGCUGAAUGUUACUUUUCCCUGUUUUACAUGGUUACCACCUGUUGCCUCACGAAGCUGAAAUCACACACACCAAAAAGCUGUUCAGAAAGAAGAGAAACGACUGGAGGCGACAACAGAGACUUCCUCGUGGGAACAAGUCCCAGCAGCACACAGACCAUCAGCAAGGUGGCACUAAACACAACAAAGACCACCAGAAUCUCUACCGAGGAGGCCAAGCCCAUCCCUCCUCAAGUAGACCAGGCCACCACAUCUACAGUCAGAACCAGCGAGGGUGCCAAAACCAGAAGCACUUGCCCAACAACAAAGAAACACACAGGAACACCAGAGACUGAGAAUCUGAAAAUUGAGCACACCUCUGCCUGCACAGGGUACAGUCCUGCGGAGACACAGCGUGAUCCAGAGGUGGUAGAAAAGCAGUUCCAGACAUACAGCCCAGAGGUGGAUACCAAGCAGAAGGACAGCAUUCAUGAGUGCAUUGGGGAAAGGCCCAAGAUCAACUUGCUUCAGUCUUCCAAAGACAGGCUGCGGAGGAGACUAAAGGAGAAGGACAAAGUCAUGGUGAAAACCACCCAUCCUGAAAAGAACAAAAUGGACAAAUUAAUUGAAAUCCUUAACAGCAUGAGGAACAACAGCAGUGACGUUGACUCCAAACUCACCACCUUUAUGGAGGAGGCUCAGAACUCCACCAACUCCGAGGAGAUGCUUGGGGAAAUAGUUAAAACCAUCUACCAGAAAGCAAUGACGAGUCGCAGCUUUGCUUCCACGGCCGCCAAACUCUGUGACAAAAUGGCUCUCUUCAUGGUGGAAGGAACCAAGUUCCGGAGUCUGCUCCUCAACAUGCUGCAGAAGGAUUUCACCAUGCGAGAGGAGCUACAGCAGCAGGAUGUGGAGUGCUGACUGGGCUUCAUUACCUUCCUCUGUGAGGUCUUCUGCACCAUGAGGAGCAGCACUGGGGAGCCCUUCCAAGUCCUUGUCUGCCCCAUCCAUACCUGCCUCAGGGAGGUAAUGCCAUCAGAGGUUGUCCUUGUCCAAGCAGUUGAGUUGCAGUGCUGA